UGGGGAAUUUUGGACAAUGGGCGCAAGCCUGAUCCAGCAAUGCCGCGUGCAGGAUGAAGGCCUUCGGGUUGUAAACUGCUUUUGUACGGAACGAAACGGCUCUGUCUAAUACAUGGGGCUAAUGACGGUACCGUAAGAAUAAGCACCGGCUAACUACGUGCCAGCAGCCGCGGUAACACGUAGGGUGCAAGCGUUAAUCGGAAUUACUGGGCGUAAAGCGUGCGCAGGCGGUGAUGUAAGACAGAGGUGAAAUCCCCGGGCUCAACCUGGGAAUUGCCUUUGUGACUGCAAGGCUUGAGUGCGGCAGAGGGGGAUGGAAUUCCGCGUGUAGCAGUGAAAUGCGUAGAUAUGCGGAGGAACACCGAUGGCGAAGGCAAUCCCCUGGGCCUGCACUGACGCUCAUGCACGAAAGCGUGGGGAGCAAACA
rnacentral:rRNA from 1 species